rnacentral:rRNA from 1 species
CCUACGGGAGGCAGCAGUGGGGAAUUUUGGACAAUGGGCGAAAGCCUGAUCCAGCAAUGCCGCGUGUGGGAAGAAGGCCUUCGGGUUGUAAACCACUUUUGUACGGAACGAAACGGCUCGCUUUAAUACAGUGGGCUAAUGACGGUACCGUAAGAAUAAGCACCGGCUAACUACGUGCCAGCAGCCGCGGUAAUACGUAGGGUGCGAGCGUUAAUCGGAAUUACUGGGCGUAAAGCGUGCGCAGGCGGUUAUAUAAGACAGUUGUGAAAUCCCCGGGCUCAACCUGGGAAUUGCAUCUGUGACUGUAUAGCUAGAGUACGGUAGAGGGGGAUGGAAUUCCGCGUGUAGCAGUGAAAUGCGUAGAUAUGCGGAGGAACACCGAUGGCGAAGGCAAUCCCCUGGACCUGUACUGACGCUCAUGCACGAAAGCGUGGGGAGCAAACAGGAUUAGAUACCCUGGUAGUCCACGCCCUAAACGAUGUCAACUGGUUGUUGGGUGCAUUAGUACUCAGUAACGAAGCUAACGCGUGAAGUUGACCGCCUGGGGAGUACGGCCGCAAGGUUGAAACGUCAAUGAAUUGACGGCUGAGAGNGCGAGACGACGACGAGGGAGGAGG